rnacentral:rRNA from 1 species
GAUGAACGCUGGCGGCGUGCUUAACACAUGCAAGUCGAACGAUGAAGCCCAGCUUGCUGGGUGGAUUAGUGGCGAACGGGUGAGUAACACGUGAGUAACCUGCCCUUAACUCUGGGAUAAGCCUGGGAAACUGGGUCUAAUACCGGAUAGGAGCGUCCACCGCAUGGUGGGUGUUGGAAAGAUUUAUCGGUUUUGGAUGGACUCGCGGCCUAUCAGCUUGUUGGUGAGGUAAUGGCUCACCAAGGCGACGACGGGUAGCCGGUCUGAGAGGGUGACCGGCCACACUGGGACUGAGACACGGCCCAGACUCCUACGGGAGGCAGCAGUGGGGAAUAUUGCACAAUGGGCGCAAGCCUGAUGCAGCGACGCCGCGUGAGGGAUGACGGCCUUCGGGUUAUAAACCUCUUUCAGUAGGGAAGAAGCGAAAGUGACGGUACCUGCAGAAGAAGCACCGGCUAACUACGUG